rfam:Triticum aestivum genome assembly, contig: Triticum_aestivum_CS42_TGACv1_scaffold_195337_3AL
CACCCUCUCCCUCCGUUCUGAAUUACUUGUCGUAGGUAUGGAUGUAUCUAGAUGUAUUUUAGUUCUAGAUACAAACAUUUCUUCGACGAGUAAUUUGGAACGGAGGGAGUUGUUG